AUGGCACCAACACAACCACGUGCAGCAUGGCUACGGCCGAGUUUGGGGGAGGUGAAACUAAAUUUGAUGCGGCUCGGCUGUUGCCAAAUCUUCACACACCGGCGCUGUUGGAGUGCUUUGUCGUAUGGAUCGUGGCGUUGUCUUGGGAGCUUCCGCGGUUGUCUUUCCAGGUGUGGGACGGAGCCGUGCUACUCUCGAGGCGUGCGCUUGCAGAGAAGCAUUAGCUCUUGUGAAGGAUCUGGCCGCGUCACGAAAGCAUGUAUUUCAUCUGACUGUCUGAGAGUCAUAAAUGCCCUGAAGAGUAUACGACAUCUUGACGACUAUUGCAUGAUUCUUAGAGAGAUCUACAACAAAAAGAGGCAACGGCAGAGUUGUGAAUUUGUCCAUGAGCACCGCACAAGCAAUGGUGAGGCACACAGACUAGCUAGAUUGGCCACUAAACUCAGUAAUGGUCGCCAUCUGUGGUUUAAUGAUCGACUGGACCACCUUUGA
rnacentral:rRNA from 1 species